GACGAACGCUGGCGGCGUGCUUAACACAUGCAAGUCGAACGGAAAGGCCCUGCUUUUGUGGUGUGCUCGAGUGGCGAACGGGUGAGUAACACGUGAGUAACCUGCCCUUGACUUUGGGAUAACUUCAGGAAACUGGGGCUAAUACCGGAUAGGAGCUCCUGCGGCAUGGUGGGGGUUGGAACGUUUCGGCGGUUGGGGAUGGACUCGCGGCUUAUCAGCUUGUUGGUGGGGUAGUGGCUUACCAAGGCUUUGACGGGUAGCCGGCCUGAGAGGGUGACCGGCCACAUUGGGACUGAGAUACGGCCCAGACUCCUACGGGAGGCAGCAGUGGGGAAUAUUGCACAAUGGGCGGAAGCCUGAUGCAGCAACGCCGCGUGCGGGAUGACGGCCUUCGGGUUGUAAACCGCUUCCGCCUGUGACGAAGCGUGAGUGACGGUAAUGGGUAAAGAAGCACCGGCUAACUACGUG
rnacentral:rRNA from 1 species